UACGGGGGGAGCAAGCGUUGUUCGGAUUUACUGGGCGUAAAGGGCGCGUAGGCGGCGCAACAAGUCACUUGUGAAAUCUCCGGGCUUAACCCGGAGCGGCCAAGUGAUACUGACGUGCUAGAGUGCGGAAGGGGCUACUGGAAUUCUCGGUGUAGCGGUGAAAUGCGUAGAUAUCGAGAGGAACACCUGCGGCGAAGGCGGGUAGCUGGGCCGACACUGACGCUGAGGCGCGAAAGCCAGGGGAGCGAACGGG
rnacentral:rRNA from 1 species